rnacentral:rRNA from 1 species
GUAGGUGGCAAGCGUUGUCCGGAAUUAUUGGGCGUAAAGCGCGCGCAGGCGGUUCUUUAAGUCUGAUGUGAAAGCCCACGGCUCAACCGUGGAGGGUCAUUGGAAACUGGAGAACUUGAGUACAGAAGAGGAAAGCGGAAUUCCGCGUGUAGCGGUGAAAUGCGUAGAGAUGUGGAGGAACACCAGUGGCGAAGGCGGCUUUCUGGUCUGUAACUGACGCUGAGGCGCGAAAGCGUGGGGAGCAAACAGGAUUAGAUACCCUGGUAGUCCACGCCGUAAACGAUGAGUGCUAAUGUUAGGGGGUUUCCGCCCCCCUUAGUGCUGCAGCUAACGCAUUAAGCACUCCGCCUGGGAGUACGGCCGCAAGGCUG